rnacentral:rRNA from 1 species
UACAGAGGGCUCAAGCGUUGUUCGGAUUCAUUGGGCGUAAAGGGUGCGUUGGCGGCGCGGUAAGUCGGGGGUGAAAUCUUGGAGCUUAACUCCGAAACUGCAUUCGAUACUGCCGUGCUUGAGGACUGGAGAGGAGACUGGAAUUUACGGUGUAGCGGUGAAAUGCGUAGAUAUCGUAAGGAAGACCAGUGGCGAAGGCGGGUCUCUGGACAGUUCCUGACGCUGAGGCACGAAGGUCAGGGGAGCAAACGGG